AUUGAACGCUGGCGGCAGGCCUAACACAUGCAAGUCGAACGAGUGGCGGACGGGUGAGUAAUGUCUGGGACACUGCCCGAUGGAGGGGGAUAACUACUGGAACCGGUAGCUAAUACCGCAUACAAUUGGAUGUGCCCAGAUGGCACUAGCGAGUGGGUUGGGUAUUGGCUCACCUCGGCGACGAUCCCUAGCUGGUCUGAGAGGAUGACCAGCCACACGUGAACUGAGACACGGUCCAGACUCCUACGGGAGGCAGCAGGGGGGAAUAUUGGACAAUGGGCGCAAGCCUGAUGCAGCCAUGCCGCGUGUAUGAAGAAGGCCUUCGGGUUGUAAAGUACUUUCAGCGGGGAGGCGUUACCCGCAGAAAAAGCACCGGCUAACUCCGUGCCAGCCGCCGCGGUAAUUC
rnacentral:rRNA from 1 species